rnacentral:rRNA from 1 species
GUGCCAGCAGCCGCGGUAAUACGAGUGGUGCGAGCGUUAAUCGGAAUUACUGGGCUUAAAGGGUGCGCAGGCGGGUCCGUAAGCAUUCCGUGAAAUCCCCCGGCUCAACCGGGGAACUGCGGAGUGGACUGCGGGUCUUGAGAGAGGUAGGGGCCGACGGAACGAACGGUGGAGCGGUGAAAUGCGUAGAUAUCGUUCGGAACGCCAAUGGUGAAGACAGUCGGCUGGGCCUUUUCUGACGCUCAUGCACGAAAGCGUGGGGAGCAAACAGGAUUAGAAACCCUCGUAGUCC